GCAACAGCUGUUGUGAAUGUCUAAUAAGAUUGCCCAGCUAAUUAGCAAUUGUAAAUGGACUAGGGUGCUUUUUCUCCCUCUCCGCCUUGUAAUUUCAGUGUCAAUGACUUAAUGAACUCUUAAUGAGGAAAGAUGUUACAUAAAUUUGGGGUAAGAAGGGUGUUCUUUUAUUUUCUCGGCAGAGCCCGCAAUUAACGUAUACCAUGCGUAGAGGCAUAGCUUCAGUUAACUCCUUUCGAUCUGCCCACUCUUCACUGAAACGAACAUAUCUUGUUUCUCACUUGAUGUGUCCUGUUGUGUUAAAUGUGCCACACCGAUUUAUAAGUGGCAGAUUCUGUAGGCGUACAGAGUUGUUAUCAGACACUGCGUGCUUGUGAGACAUUCUUCCACACAGCACCAUUACUUUGAAGCAACACGUAAAACUGUCUCACUUGUCCUUUCAAAAGGGUUCAAAAGAUUUUCCAGGCCAUUUCCUUGCAAAUAAGCCAUUGAAAAAGCAGUUUUCCUUUGAUUGUUUUUUUUCUGUAGGGCACUGUUUUAUUCAUGGUGUGGUCACAUCUAAUGGGGGAAUAAUUGCCCUCUGUAAGGACUGUUUGUAAAUAGCUGGGAAUCGCUGCAUUUUGAAACUGUUUCUCAGGAUCACUUCACAACAUUAAUUUUGAAAUCAUAGUGAUUUUUUUUUUCAAAGGUUUUCCCCUAAAACUGUGUUGGGUUUAUUUGCUUGUUUGUUAGGAAUGUGAUUAAAAAAAAUAAAAAAUACAGUAUUAUAUUAAAAAAGCAAAAAGUGGAGGUUGAAAUCUUCUCCAAGCUUUCCUCUGAUCACCUCUGCCAACCGGCACAGGCAAGCAGGAAAAUGGAUUCCAGAGAAAAAGGACUUGCAUAUUCUGAAAGCACAACUAAAUGUUUAACAGGUUGAAAUGUAUGAACCUAAUGUCUUCAAGACUUUGCAACUUUUAAGGAAAUGUGUAUUUAUGGUUUUUAUUUUUAGAAAAUGGACACGUCAUCAGCUAUCUUUCUGGUGGAGAAGUCCUGCUGUAUUGUGUGUAAUGCCAGCAGGCCUCAGAAUGCAGAGAAUGAUUUAGCUCACUUCUACUGAGGGAUGAAGAGUGUUUAAGCUUCUCUGUAUAAACAGCAGGGCCCGAUGAUGUGAAGAGAAAUCCCAAACAUCUCAGCCAGAGGUGUAGCCCACAGUCAGCAUUACAGCUUGCCAUAGUGCAGGGGAGAGGAGUGCCCUAACCAGAGGCUGAACCCAGACUACUUCUUCCAUAUGUGAGCCCAUAUGGUGGAGCUCUAUGCAGAUAGGUGACCAUCCCAGGCACAGAAUGUGCUGGAGACUUGGCACAGACCCAGGGACCUGCUGGCACCACCACAGCUCCUGCUGAGAGCCCUGGCCUGAGGGAGGUGCACAGACAUAAGCUGUCUGAGAAGAACCGGCACAGGAGUGCCAACCUCUCUGGGAGAUGGUAGCGUUUGAAGAGUAUCAGAGUAACGAAAGGAGACAACAGGAGUCCUGCUCUGGUAGGGCACCACAGAACGGAGAGCUAUUUUUCUGCCUCUUGUACUCUGUUUGGUCUGUUAGACUGAUUAUAGCCUGUCACGCACACAGCUGCUAUGGAAGUGUGUAUGUAAAUAUGCACAGAAAUAAAUACACCAGCUUUGACAAAUCCCUCUGCUCAAUGAACCUAACUGGCGUAAAUCACUAUAGAGAUUAAGAGUAGGGAUAAUAAGCAAGACUUUUUCCUUUUGUGUGUAUAGCAGAUGUCAGGAAAUGUAUGAUCUUCGCCCUGAGAACAAUCUUUAUGGCACAUGCUAAGCAAGUGGAUUAACACAUUGACUCUGUUGCGCAGAUGGAGAAAAGGAGGGGUUUUGUUAGGACAUUUACUCUUGAAAAUGAGAAUUUAAUCCUUAAACAAAACAGAGAAGGCCUUGAAUUUAAUCAGUAAUGUUUCAGAAGCUGGAUUGCCCAAGACCUCCAUCUAUCUGCCACAGAAAUGCCAAGGGCUGUGUGGACCAUGGCCAGAGCCACAUGUGCAAAGCACACAGCUAUGGCUCCUACAGUCUCGAGGCUCUCCCCUCUCCUCCUUGCUCUCCCCUUCCUUCCCUUCCCCUCCUUUCCUCUCUUCCCCAGGACUACUACUAUGGUGGAGUAAUGAUGUAACAGCCGAGCUUCUGUGGACGUUACCUGAAGUGGAGAGUACCAAAUCCUUUCCGAGAGUCGCUUGAUGUGCUGCAAGCCAAAGCUCUAACUGGUUGUCAUUUAUUUAACUUCCAUUUGCAUGCUGGCCACGCUGCUGAAUGGAGCCUGGGGUUUACAUAUACCAAGGCCUCUCCACACCACUUCAGCAUUAAGAUCUGGUGAUGACAUCUCAGUCUGACUGAGGAUGCUCCUGUGCAGUGCCUGCGAAGCUCAGAUUACUCUGUGUCCCUCUGAGGCUGAAGCCAACAAGUACACACUGCUCCUUUCUGGGAGGCUGCUGGGUGAAGGUACUCGCAGAAGUGCCCAGCGAGAACUUAGAAAUAAAAAUCUGAUCAAUGGAAGAAAGAGGCGAAAGAGAACAAGCAAACCUAACUGUCUACAAUACUGUAAUUAGUCCCUGGCAUUCUCUUAAGUUCCUUUUAGACAGCUGCAUCCUUCCACAAGAAUAGAUGUAAGGCUGAUGAUAGCUGAUGCCCAGCACAAGAUGGAAAGUUCAGAAACUGACUCCCAGGCCUUGUGCCCACUGGAGCCUGGCUAACUCUUUGUGUCUUUGUAACGUUUACUUGAUCCUCAGCUCAGAUUACAGCUCCAAAAGAGAUGACAUAGUGUGAUAAAAGAGAAGUUUUUCUGUGUCAAACAGAUUUGCAUCUUCUGUGCCUCAUCUCUUUCCAGGUGAAUUGGCACAGCUUGGCUUGAAUGAAAACUGAAAGAGACCAAAAUCUUUCACCCAUUCAGGGUCCAUCUUUGCUCACAUUGACCUUACUUCUGUUUUCCUUUCAUUUUCUAUCAACGUUUGCAAAAGGGAUUUCUUUUACUCGCAUUUCAGGAAUAUUUUAGAUAGGUUUUAGAUAAACUCGCUAGCAGGCAAAUGCAUAGCAGAAGAAACACAUGAUUUAACUGAUGAGUCACAUGUAACAAAUAAUGAAUUAUGGAUGGCAGAACUCAGAAGUCACAAGGCCUAUGCACAGCAUUUAAAGCCUGUUUACAACUCCAAAUGAGGGUGCUUAGAUUCAGCUCUUUACAUAUUUGCCUACAAGCAGGCAAUAUUUCAGCUUCCCAGGAGCCAGAAAGGGAUGCCACCAGUUUCCUUUUGUCAGUUCCAGCUCUGUGUGUCUUCUUAUCCAGCCUAUUAGAAAAAAAAAAAAAAAGAGAGAGAGAAAAACAGGAAGCCACAAGAGACACAGAAUCAAUAAAUGUCCUUUAGGGGAAAAGUGGAGAAGAUGGAGAAGAGCUGCCACUGGCCAACCCACGCUGCAGGGACGUCACUAGAGCUGCCAGGCUUUGCUGCAGCUGCUGACAGGCAGCACAGUGCCCUCUGGGCCCAAUGAGGCACUCCAGGGGUUCCGCUUAUGCUGUCUGUCUUGUGGUUAAGUACUCAAACCUGCUUUCCAAAAGCCUCCAUUUGGUAUUUCUCAUGAUCUUAACAAGUGAUACAAUCACACAUCUGAAAUCCAUGUGUGGGCACAGGCAGACGAAACAAGAAUUGUGCUUUGAUUAGUUAUAGAAGAGUCUGGAGCUUGGAAUAAAAGCAUCACCACAGAAUGAGCUCUAUCUCUGCCUUGGGAGCUGGGCUAUAUCUUAAUAUAUAUAUAGCAAUCAGUUAAGAUAUCACUUGCACCCUCUGGCGCAGAAAUUGGUGUGAUACUGAUCUAACACUGUUGCUCUUCAGGGCUCUGCUGACUGACAUUUGCUCUGCACUGAACAGCCUCCAUCUCUCUGGCAGCUGCAGCAGAACCAGCUGCAGCAGGGACUGUAUUUAAGCAAAAGCAGUGGGAGGGAGGGAAGGGGGGGUGCAGAUGAGGUGCUCACGCUGGGUUGUGUCCCUGGCUAUCUCCUCUGCAGGCUGGUGACCAAGCCAAGCUCUUUGCCAUCCAUCUGACGCUGUCCUUUCACUUCCAGACAGCUUCGCUGUCUCUUCUUCCAUUUGUUCUUCUGUUUUCUGCUAUCCAUGGCCUUUGCUUCCCACAGUCCUUCCUUUCCUCCCCUGGGUAAAAUGGUGAUGUUCUGCUGCCUCCUCUCUCCCCCUCCUUUUCACCAGUAGAUCUACUUGCAGUGCAGGCUCCUUGGGGCAAAGGCUUUCUUACAUGGAGUUUCUGCAGUGCCGACUAAGGGUCCCAAUCCAAUCUGGACCCUCUUUGUCUUAGUUAUACAACCCCGUACGUGAAUGGCAGUGCCCUCCCUCCCAUGUGAAUGCAAUAAGGUGAUUUUGGCUGGUGCAGACACUGUUUCUGAAGGCCCAGAUGAAAUCAGAUCUCACUCACAUGAUGAGAUGGCAGGUGAUGAGCACCUCCUUCGAACUCAGUUCUGUGACAGCUCCCUUGAGCACUCACCCCUCUCCUUUACCCCACCGCUGCAGCACUAUGCUACUCCAUGCCAUGCCUCCUGCAGCUGAUGGAGCAAAGCUGUCCUUGACUCCUUGCCCAAGCUGAGCGACAGCGCCGGGCACCAUCUCCUCAUGAUCCCGGGACUGGUGAUUCAGAAGCAGUGGAAAGCUGCACCGUUUCUCACCAUGAGCGGAGCUGUCCCAGGCCGGUGGCCUCCUUCUGCUGGGACUGAUGAGCUGCUGCUCCCCUGCCUGGGGUGAGGAUGCUUCCUGCCUCUUCCAGCAGCACGGGCUGGCCUGGCCUGUUGGAGCAGUGCUUUUAGGGCACUGUCUACAGGGUUUUGGGGCUCGGUGAAACUUCCCCAGCUUGCCUUGGGAUUCUUGAUGUCAGGUAGUGCUGGUGCAGUUCAGAGACUCUCCCAGGACAAAGCAGGCACUGAACAGCACAGAAAGGUGAAGAGAGGGUUCCUCAGUUUCCUCAUUACUGGUCUCGGUAAUGUGCUGGGGCUUGCAGGACUUACAGCAAAGAAAAAUGCUGCAUGUCAGGGUGCUGGCUUGCACAGACUCCAGGGGAAAGUCAGAGCUCAGAGAGGCAGGCACUGCAAACUGUGCUUUUCUUUUUAGCACUUGCUUUUAUUUGCUCCACCAUGUCACCCAGCCUGUGGCCUUCUUGGGUAGUUUAGGAAAAUGAAUGUUUUAGUUACUACCAACCGGUUGACCCAUUCCCAUCUGGAGACAAAUUUCUCGCUGGAAAAUGCAUAUGUAGUUAGCUGACAGAAAGGAAACAAAGGCAAAGUGUUCCUCUGCUAUGCAGAAUGAUUUCUUGUUGAAAAUAGUGCAGUUGUAAUGAACUUGAUUCAUUACCUCUCUUUAGAAAAUCAUACACAUUCAGAGAUAAUGAUCUUUAAAUAUUAAUUCCGCUUCUAAGUGACUAGGUUUGACCUGUUUUGCUAAAAAUGGUAAUCCUGCUCCUGAAAACCAUCUGCCCAUUCAGACCGCUCAUGUAGCAAAUUCAAGGCUGGAGCUUACAGCUUUAACUAUCACAUGGUACGCAGUCCCAUGCCUCUUAAUCAGAGCAUCAAGUGAUUUAUUCAAUGUGCUUUUUUAUUUCCUGCCACAGCCUACCCUCUCUGAAGUUUCCACCAGCUCGCAGCAGCCUGCCCUCACUCUCAGGGCUGGCUCCUUCCUGAUAAGCAGGGCUGUUGCACACUGCAGCCUUUCAUGCCUUAGCUUGCUGUGUUCAUUUCUGUAACAAGUUUGAGAACCAGCUGUUCUGUAUUUACAUGACCAUGACCUGAAAAUGGCAUCUCAUCGGUGAGCCACGGCUAACAGGGAUGCUGCUGGGUGCUUAUCACAAGCUCACUUGCAAGAGAAGUUAUUUAUCUAUGUAUAUACGUAUAACUAAGCCAUAGUUACUCAUGUAUGUGGUCCAUUCAUUUGGUCAAAUUUUCUGCUGGAAAUGUAACUCGGCCUAGUUACCCAAAGCUUGAUCCAAUCACUAAAUUUUAAAUCUGGCAUUUUUAAUAUCACAGAUAUGCCUGAGAUUUUGCAGAGAUAUUGAAAUAACAAUUCUAAGAUCUUGUUAAAGAACAAUUUGAUUGAUAAUGGAGGAGUAUUACAAAAAGCAGGAAUAAAAAAUUAUCCCUGUAUCCCUGAUUUGAAACGUUUUGCACAGCACAGUGCGCGCUUCUUUAUUUCAUAGAUUUCAUAUAUACUGCAGUUAAGCCUUAAGCAGCAGAUUCACCUUUUAUGUGAAACUGCUGUUUGUUGUCAGGAGGGAAUCCUUCCUAAUGGUGUGUGUUUCUGUACAGGUCUGUGAGACAAACUGUGGAGGGCAGUGGCUUUUAAGAAAACUAAAUCAGGGACAUAAGUUAGAUCACUAACCUCAAUUCAGCCUCCUUCUAGGCAUGAGGGGUGGAUAACAUCCUGGGAAGAGGGCACAAUGCCAUGUUUCCUUGGGAGAAGGAAGGCCUUGGUUUGACCUAUCAGAUUAACAACAGGCAAUGGCAAUGCAUUGUACUGAGUCCAAAGGGCUUCUGGAUAGGUCCUGUGUGUAAAUGACAUGUCCCCAGCACUGAUCACAACCUGGCCUCAUCACCCAAUGACACCGAUUUCAGUGCUAGAAGCACACAGAUGGUUCCACAGACCUGCAAUAUCUGGUCCACAGCCAAGGAAUUACAGGCUUUCCACUUCCUUCCAAUCACUAAUGUCACAUUUCUGCCCUUCAUUUCUGCAUUACAGACCUUCCUUUUCAGACCAAAGUGGUUUGUUUGUGAAAACUUUGCUUAUGCAAUCAGGGCCCUUGCCACAUUAAAGAUUUGACAUUGUGGACUGGAUCUUGAAAGCAUUUUUUUCAUCUUAGAACUUCUUAGAGUCCUAAAGAAGAAUAUCACGCUGUCUUUCAUAGGGUGAACAGAGACUAAAACUACUUUGGAAAAACUGGAAAAGCUGAUCUCCUGACUUGUAGCCUGAGACAACGAUCACAAGACCAUCCCUCCUCCCAUUUUAGUAAAAAAAGCAGCAAUGAAAAAAAAAAAAAACCAGAAAGAAAUGAAGCAAAAAUUUCUCUCUUCCAUUGUAGAACACUUAAAUACUAAGUUUAUAGAUGUGGAUUGUUUGUUUUAUUAUAGGUCAGGGUGCAAAUAAGGAAUCUCAGAAUGGAUCUUACCCUGAAGGUGCACGCUUUGGUUCUGGCCAUUUUAUCAAAAUGACAGCCUCCACCUGUGACUGAGUCACACUGUGCUUCUCUCACUGCCCUAGAAGAGAAAUAAGAGCUGCUACACCAUACACAGGUUCAAGAGAGGCUGCUGUGAGAGUAGCAGAGCAUGCAGCUGAGGAUACCCAUCCUAGCCUUUGUUGACUCUUCAGUGACAAUCUGCAUGUACAGGUUUUAGGCAGAGUAUUGCAACAGCACUGGAGAAGCAGAGCACUCCGGGAUGAGUCAUUUGUGUAUCCUGUGAUUGUGGUUUUGUAUACCAGCCCGCCAAGAUCAAGAUUAACAUCCUAUGAAGGAUGUUAAAAAUUGUUGUAUGUUGCAGGUAGAUAAGCACCAGCUGUCUACAUUGGUAUCAUCUUCUCAUUUUUGUAAUCUUCUUCAUUCAUCUCUUGGAGAUUUUGUGUUAACAGGAAUGGAUAUCUUGCUUUCUUAAAGGGCCUAGCGUUGCUGUCACUGGCCAGGAGGGUAUUGGUGGUGCAGAGGUGACACUUUGUCGCAUCUGAAGCAUGAGUUGCUAAAAGUGUUCAGCCCAAGGAGGAUGUGCUAAGGCAGCUGGCAUGCAAAGUGCAUUGCACAGGGUGGAGCCUCUGGUCUCCAGUGCUGCCUUGUGAAAACCUGUAUUUGUGAACUGUCUGAUCAAGUCAGCACCAGUGGAAGCAAACCUGAUCUCACUAGUGCACAGCAAACAUGCAGAGGUGAGUGUCCUCCUGUGCCCACGGUGUUGAUAUCUGUUCUGUCUGUAGUCAUGGUGACUUGGACACCAGUCCCAACUACUGCAAGCAACAACUUCUUGUUUCCAAAUGGGACUCCUGUUGUACAGGGGGAGGUGAUGAAGUACUGUGAUGUCUGAUGGGCUACUCCACUCAGUCCCCCAGUACCAGCACCAGUUUCAAGUCCUUUUCUCAGAUGGGAGAUGAAGGCAAAUGAUUGGUUUUCAUUCCCUCCUGAUCACAAACAGUUGAGAGACAGCUGAGGUGACUGCAGGAACUGUGCACGGAGGGACAGAGACUUGAAGAUCUCUCCCCAAAUGCAUGAUAUUGUUGCCAGAUACCUUCAAACAGCAGUCUGGUGAGAUGAGUCCAUGCUGUGCUAGAAGCAGCUCUUUGCAACAUCUUGUAGAUCCACACUCUGACCGUAAAUUUACAUUCCCUAGUCCCGGAAUGAAGAAUGGCACCUGCAGAAGUGCUGGAUGAGGAGAUGAGUGUAUCUGUGUCCGAUGAGGAGCUGGACAUUGCCACACCACAGCUCACCAGUCUGACAAGAAGCAUGGCAGUGGCCACCCUGCAACCCACUCCAGGCUCCACCGCAACAUGCUGAGGUAGAGCAAACAAUACACCGCAGCAGCAAGAUGAGGUCCCCAAAAAACCUCCUCAGGAACUUAAACCUCUGGCUUAAUCCUCCUCCCCAGCAAACUCAGAGAACAGUGGCUGACACUGAUCCAUGGUGAGGCUGGGCUCACCAUUUCCACAUUGCAGGUCUGUUGUGGAAAGACUGGGACAUGAAUAUCACAUGACCAGGCACAUUACAUACCCUAAUAGUCCAUGUACUCUCUUUUCACUGAACUAAACUGGAAUAAUUGUUACUGCCUUAGCUGAGAAUAUAAAGGAAAAUACACAACAAACGUUGUGGCCAUUUGUGUAUCCAUGUAUGAUUUUAGUUGUGUUUUCAGCUAACUCUUACCAAGACGCACUGAAGAAAGUGGCUGAAUAAAUUUACGUUUACUAAGAACUGACAUCUGAUAUCAAGUGUUCCUCAAAAAAGAUGCUGAAAUGCAUGAUCUAUGUAGAAGUUACUUAGAGCCAUAAACACAGCAGCAACAAAAAUAUAGUGCAACAGUCAGGAAAUGAGUACAGAGAGAAUGCAGUGAUUUGCCAGGAAAUGGUGACUAUAUAACAUUACGUUUGCAUUUAAAGGCAAGUGUUAACAGACUCCUCUGAUGGACGAUCAACUUUAUUUUUCAGUCAAAGCAUAGACUUACAAGCAGUGUGAACCAAAGUGGAAGUGUAAUGAACAUACUUGCAGGAAACCCAAGCACUUCUAGUGAUAAAUAUAGCCAGUAAAAUACCUAGUGCAAUAA